UUACAGUACACAUAUUUUAUAUACUACAGGAACACAUAAUACAGGUACUCAACGUGUGUUUUACUGUGGUUAUUUUUAUUUUUUUUUUUACUUAACCUGCAUGUUGAAGAAGAGCCAAUCAUAGGGUUUGUCUUGAAGUUUGGAGGACCAGAAGAAGGGACCACUCACAGCCCUCAGUGAUCUUAUUUCCCCCCCACCCCUUCAUUAGCCACAAGUCAAAUGUACCCAAACUGCUGAGGAAUGUCUCCUUUGUCACG